rnacentral:rRNA from 1 species
UACGUAGGGUGCGAGCGUUAAUCGGAAUUACUGGGCGUAAAGCGCACGUAGGCGGUUUUUUAAGUCAGAUGUGAAAGCCCCGGGCUCAACCUGGGAAUUGCAUUUGAAACUGGGGAACUAGAGUGUGUGAGAGGGGGGUAGAAUUCCAAGUGUAGCGGUGAAAUGCGUAGAGAUUUGGAGGAAUACCAGUGGCGAAGGCGACCACCUGGACUGAUACUGACACUGAGGUGCGAAAGCGUGGGGAGCAAACAGG